rnacentral:rRNA from 1 species
AUUGAACGCUGGCGGCAGGCCUAACACAUGCAAGUCGAACGCGUGGCGGACGGGUGAGUAAUGUCUGGGAAACUGCCUGAUGGAGGGGGAUAACUACUGGAAACGGUAGCUAAUACCGCAUACCAUCGGAUGUGCCCAGAUGGGAUUAGCUAGUAGGUGGGGUAAACGCUCACCUAGGCGACGAUCCCUAGCUGGUCUGAGAGUAUGACCAGCCACCGUGGAACUUAGACACGGACCAGACUCCUACGGGAGGCAGCAGUGGGGAAUAGUGCACGAUUGGCGCAAGCCUGAUGCAGCCAUGCCUCGUGUAUGAAGAAGGCCUUCGGGUUGUAAAGUACUUUCAGCGGGGAGGCGUUACCCGCAUAAGAAGCACCGGCUAACUCCGUGCCAGCAGCCGCGGUAAUUC